GUCUGAAGUACAAGGCUAUUCAAAUCAUAGUCUUCUAGGAUGGGCGAAGGGUUGCGAAGCCAGAAUUGAUUAACCCUGCUGUACUCAGUAUGUAUAGCAUGUUUAGUUGUGUGUGUGUGUGUGUGUGUGUGAUGGUGAAGUGUUGACCCCGUCUCUCGACAGAGCGAGAGAGGACUAGUGUUUAGCUCGGGGCCACCGUGCCUCACCUACACCUGCCUCUACCUGAAACAAGAAACCGAGAGGUGGGACUCACAUGGAAAUCAUAUUGUACAAGUCACAAAAGAAAUGGCCACCGAAAUUCUCCAUAUGGCCCAAUAUCUAAAAAGAAAAGGUCCUAUACAGGACAAAGAGACCUUCGUCUCCUCAGCAAAGGAUAUAGUCAACAGCACCAAGUCCAUCAGCCAGUUUCUGAAAGCCAUCGCUGACCACUGCCUGGACAAGCACUGUGCAGACGACCUUGCCUUCAUCGUAGAACAGAUGCAAACCGUAUCCAGCCAGCUCACCAUCAUCUCCAAUGUCAAUGCGUUGACCCCAGGGAGCAAAUCGUCAGACGAGUCUCUGGUGAAGAACGCACAGAACCUUCUCCGAAUUGUCCUGCAAGGGCUCCAUGCUGCUGAGGCUGCCUGCAUCAGGGGUCUCAGGCAGCCCGAGCCCAACUCAGAUGGGGCUAAAGCCGCGGCCCUGUGCUUCCAGUGGAAAAAGAACCUCCUGAUCCACCGGGCUCUGCAGAUCUCCAACCCUGAGACGGAUGAUCUGGGCCUUCGCAAGACCGCCUCGCGCCCCGCUGCGCCCAGCCUGGCAGCUUCUGUCCAUUUGAUGGAGGGCUAUAAGUGAACAGCCCUACUUUCCUCGGGCGGCGUCCUGUUCAGAGAAUCUGGUGUGGAAAUCGAAAAAUUUUCUGAACUGGUUGCUUUUAAUUUUUCAUUUAGAAUUGCAACUGAUCGUUUCCAAAGUUUCACCCCUGUGCUUCUGCUUUGUAAUC
rnacentral:lncRNA from 1 species